rnacentral:lncRNA from 1 species
AAGAUUCUUAGCUUUUCGGCCAGAGCACGACACAUCAAGAUAGCCUCAGAAUCUUGGGCAGCAGUAGGGAUGACCACUGGAGUAGCUCCAUUGUAAUUCUGCAUUUCAAACUCGUCCUGGAGCUCCUCAUCAGUGCGGGGAAUGACCACUUGAUUGACUAUCGGAGGUCCUUGCGCAGCGACUCCAUCAGCUACUCCAGAAGUAUGCGCAGGUGGAGGCACAUGAGUUCUUUCAGGCGGUGGAACAAAAC